AAGGCGUCGCCACAGCGGGCAGCUUCGAUCCGAUUUCCUCCCUCGCCACCAGCAGACCAUGUCGAGCACCGUCAUGGCCUCGGCCCCUUCCUUCACCUCCACCUCCCAACAAUUCCUCUCUCGAGUCGCCCCCCCGUGCCCUAUCCGGCUGCCCACCGUCUCCGUUAUCGCCAGAGCCGCUCACGAGAACGGCGGCAAACCGCGCCUUCCCUCCCGCCUCCUUAAACGCCUGGCCCUCUCGUCGCGGCAUGCUGCGAUCGCCGCCGCCGCCGCCGCUGCGAUGGUGGCCGCCUCGCCGCUACCGGCCCUGGCUGAGCAGAUGGAGAAGGCGGCGCUCUUCGACUUCAACCUGACUCUGCCCGCGAUCGCCAUCGAGUUCCUGCUGCUGAUGGUGGCGCUGGACAAGAUCUACUUCACGCCCCUGGGCAAGUUCAUGGACGAGAGGGACGCCGCCAUCCGCGCGAAGCUGUCCGACGUGAAGGACACGUCGGGGGAGGUGAAGGAGCUGGAUGAUCAGGCGGCGGCGGUGAUGAAGGCGGCGCGGGCGGAGAUCUCGGCGGCGCUGAACCAAAUGAAGAAGGAGUCGUCGGCGGAGCUGGAGCAGAAGCUGGCGGAGGGGCGGAAGCGUGUGGAGGCGGAGCUGGCGGAGGCGCUUCAGAACUUGGAGAGGCAGAAGGAGGAGACCAUCAAGGCGCUGGACUCCCAGAUUGCGGCACUCAGCGACGAAAUCGUCAAGAAGGUCCUGCCCACAGUUUAAUCUUCUUCUUCUUCUUCUUCUUCCCGGGUGCGAUGGAAAUCCUCAUCUUUGCUCUUUAACUAUUG
rnacentral:lncRNA from 1 species